rnacentral:rRNA from 1 species
GACAGAGGGUGCGAACGUUGUUCGGAAUUACUGGGCGUAAAGCGCGUGUAGGCUGUUCGGCAAGUCGGGUGUGAAAGCCCUGGGCUCAACCUAGGAAGUGCACUCGAAACUCCCGAACUGGAGUCCCGGAGAGGAAGGCGGAAUUCUCGGUGUAGAGGUGAAAUUCGUAGAUAUCGAGAGGAACAUCGGUGGCGAAGGCGGCCUUCUGGACGGUGACUGACGCUGAGACGCGAAAGCGUGGGGAGCAAACAGG